CCUACGGGUGGCAGCAGUGAGGAAUAUUGGUCAAUGGACGAGAGUCUGAAGCAGCCAAGUAGCGUGAAGGAUGACUGCCCUCUGGGUUGUAAACUUCUUUUAUAUGGGAAUAAAAUGUUCCACGUGUGGGAUUUUGUAUGUACCAUAUGAGUAAGGGUAGGCUAACUCCGUGCCAGCAGCGGAGGUAAUACGGAGGAUCCGAGGGUUAUCCGGAUUGAUUGGGGUUAAAGGGAGCGUAGGUGGAUUGUUAAGUCAGUUGUGAAAGUUUGCGGCUCAACCGUAAAACUGCAGUUGAAACUGGCAGUCUUGAGUACAGGAGAGGAGGGCGGAAUUCGUGGUGUAGCGGUGAAAUGCUUAGAUAUCACGAAGAACGCCGAUGGCGAAGGCAGUUAACUGGAAUGUAACUGACACUGAGGCGCGAAAGUGUGGGUAUCAAACAGGAUUAGAUACCCUUGUAGUC
rnacentral:rRNA from 1 species